GUCCUGGAUAGCUCAGUCGGUUAGAGCAUGGUGUUGGUAACGCCAAGGUUGCAGGUUCGAUCCCCGUAUAGGACA